AAUAUUGCACAAUGGGCGCAAGCCUGAUGCAGCCAUGCCGCGUGUAUGUAAGAAGGCCUUCGGGUUGUAAAGUACUUUCAGUCAGUGAGGAAGGUGGGGUAUGUUAAUAGCAUACUCAUUUGACGUUAGCUGCAGAAGAAGCACCGGCUAACUCCGUGCCAGCAGCCGCGGUAAUACGGAGGGUGCGAGCGUUAAUCGGAAUUACUGGGCGUAAAGCGCAUGCAGGUGGUUUGUUAAGUCAGAUGUGAAAGCCCGGGGCUCAACCUCGGAAUUGCAUUUGAAACUGGCAAACUAGAGUACUGUAGAGGGGGGUAGAAUUUCAGGUGUAGCGGUGAAAUGCGUAGAGAUCUGAAGGAAUACCCGGUGGCGAAGGCGGCCCCCCUGGACAGAUACUGACACUCAGAUGCGAAAGCGUGGGGAGCAAACAGGAUUAGAUACCCUGGUAG
rnacentral:rRNA from 1 species